UAGAAAAUACUGUAUAUACACCAAUGUGCACACACAAUGCAGUUUUACUCAGCCAUAAAGAAGAAUGAAGUCAUAGAAUUUGUUUGCAAAUGCACAGAACUGGAAAACAUCAGGCUAAGUGAAAUAAGCCAGACUGGAUUUUUUUCUCCAUUAUGUAGAAGCUAGAGUAAUAUAAGGGCAAAAAGGGAGGCUUCCAUGAAAAGAGAAUGGAGAACUUUAGAGUGUAGGAAGGGCACUGGGUGGGGAAGGACAGGAAAAGGGAAGAACUGCUGAAUAUAAUUGAGCAGAUUAUGCUCUGUACACAUAUGAGCAUACCACAGUGAAUUUCACCUUUAUAUAUAAAGCACCAAAAAAUAGAUAUGAUAAAGACCAUUAGAGUAGAUAAAGCAACAGGGAAAAGGAAGGUAGGAAAAGAGGGUGUACUGGGGAUAUUCCAUGCAGUUAUGAUGGUGUCAAAAUGAACCACUAUUUUGUGUGACUAUAAUGCAUCCACAAAAACAUUUUUAAACAGAAAUUGAUUUUUCCCACAUAUUUUGCCCCUCAGAAAAACAUUGGAUUACUCAUCAGGCUCAUUCUAUUUAUCCAGAUGGUGCUUUCAGUGCAGAGGCCUCUGUGACCGGGACCUGUGCUGCAGGGAGGCGGCCAGCUCCUGAGAUAUGGGUCUGUGACUGUGACCUCACCUGUCCUGGGACCCGCAAUUUUCUCUGUGCCUGUAGCAGCCAGCUAGGGGAGCUGAGGACACUGUGGAAAACUUCCUCCCCAGGGAAUCCUGGAGUAUUGAGGAGGCUCUUACUUAUCCCUGAUCUCUUGAGGGCAGAUAGGAGGUCACAUGGAGAUGGCAGGGAAUCCUGAGGUCUGUCAUGGGAGGGACUGGCAGUAAGCUAUACCUAUCCGUUGCAUUCCUCACUUCCGUGUGACGUUUUCUACUCCAAAUAUAGUUAAGUUUUAUUCAUUUCUCCACACUGUUCAGUAGUGGCACCACCAUUUAGACUAUUACUAGGUGCAUAGCAUUUGAUAAAAUACCCGUUAAAGAUUUUAAAACACAGCAAGGGAAGAACAUGACGCUGAUAGAUCACCUUGGAAGUCAUUGUACUCAUCUGCCUAAUGCAAGUCAGUUAACUUCCCUCAUUUGCACAAUUUAUUGCCAACUAAUACCAAAAUUUUGUGGAUAAGUAUACCCAUACUGAUGUCAUCAGUGAACGAAGGGAGAAACACAACAAUAUUUGUUAAACAACACAGAAUGUUCCUUCACCAAGACAGCAGCAGGAUCAGAUGCUUCAACAGGCCAGACCUACCAUUUCUUUAAGUAUCAGAUCUGCCAGGGGGCCACUAACAUCAUCUCAGCAGCCUUAAGGGGUGACCACAGAAAAGAAGUCCUUCCUAUUUUUUGUAAUCCCUCCAACCCUGCAAGGACAAUUGUUAUAGUGAAUCAUCUUAAUAAAUGCUGUGAGGCUUACCAUUCAGGUCAAGUCCUGUGGCAGGAAAGUAGAAGGUUUGGGGCAGUGACAGUGCACGGGUGUGAUACAGAAGUGGUAAGCAAGAGGUCACAGAGAACCGGGGGACACAGGGACACGAUGGUGGUGAAGAUCAUGGGAUGCUAAGGAAAUACUGAGGGGGGAAACAGAGCAGGUAGAAGGGGAAACGGCAAAAGCUCGUCGAAUGUCCAGAAAGAGGUAUGGAUUGGGCAUACAGGGGGCAAAGAGCUAAGGGACGUUAGGGACAUGGUGCCUGCCAGUUAAUAGAGACAUGGGGUGUAUGAUUACAAGGGAAUGAAGGGGCUCCUGGGGAUGAGCAGAGAGCAAUGAUAAAGGUGAAGGUCACUGGCUGGAAAAAUUCAUAGAAUUAGUGUCUUUAAGGCAUUAAUAUCUACAGGUAGUGGGAGGCUUGUUAAUAUGCGUGGAGAAUGAUGUCCUGGAUAAAGUAGUUGUUCAAAUGGGCCUAGAGGGUGAGUCUGGGGAGAGAGAAUGCAUCUCAAGGGUGGGAAAUUAGGCACAGGGCAAUGAAGAAGCUGGGGAAAGAAGUGGGUUGAGAGAGGAACAGAGGCCGGGACAACCAAGAACAGUAGAAACAUCAGGAAAAAAAGGUUAAAACCUGUGACUUACGACUUCAGGAUGAAUGAAGAGGUACAGUUUUGACAACCAUGUGGUGUACUUACACUAUAAAGCACAUGAAAAGACAGCAAAAAAACCAGGGUAAGCCCUUGAUUUAGGACCAGGCACAUGGGAAAGAAAUAAUGUGGAGAGGUGUGCACCCAGGAGAGAGAUGGAGGACGAUGGGACCGGUUAAGAUUCACGUUCUCUUUUCUGUGACAGUUAAACCUGUUGUCUGAGUUUCCUCAUAUGUAACAAAAAUGUGUUUUCUUGCUGUAAUCUAAAAACUAAAUUUUAUAUUGUGAAGUAAGGUAGAGCCAUUUUCAAGUCACAAAAUCAUGUGGUUAAAUGUUGACAUGUUGAGCCCCCUAUCAAACCCCCUUUGUUCUCAGUCUUCCAAUUAUAAUGCCUCUGGUGUAGUCGGUGACCCAUUGUUAACUAUAGUCCUGCCCCAUCCACUCGCCAAUUUUAAAUUAGUCAAUCCUGUACAUUGUAACCUGAGCUCCUCCCAUCCAAGCUAGGGGCAGUGCUGCAUCUGGGAUAAAAACGUGGGCACACUUCCUGCCCAGUGCGCUAGCUUGCCAGAUUUGGGCGGGAGUAGCACACCCUUCUGUAGAAGUAACAUUUGCCUUGUCAAUUAACUUUUGAGCAGAUGACUGAUUUCUUGUUGCAUCCCAAUAUUUCUAACACUAUCACUUCACAGUUACCUGGUGUGUGGGUGGGGGCGGGUAAGGACAUUUAAGAGCUCUGCAGAUUCCAACUGCACAACACUGUCUUACUAACUACGGUCUCCACACUGUUCAGUAGAUCCCCAGGGUACAUUCAUGUUGUAAUGGAAUUUGGUGCACUUUGACCAUCCCCGCAAUGUCCCUCACUAACCACCACUUUACAACUCUCAUUCCACUCUGUUUCUGUGAAGGUGACUACUGUAGAUUCCACCUGAGAUCGUAGAGUGCUUGUGUUUAAUUAUUGUCACCUCACUUCCUCCAGGCUCAUUUAUGUCAGCACAGUGGCGGGAUUUCCCUGGUAGAAGGCUCAGUACCUUUCCCCUGAGUGUUGAUGGACACAGCACCUCACCUGCACACCUGCACACUCUGGUGGACACCACGUCUCACCUUGCUGCUGAUUGCCUGUCGUGAACAGUGCUGCAGUGAACCUGGAGGUGCAGGCGUCUUGUUGACUCUGAAUACUUUCCUUUAGAUGCACAGCAGGGAGUGGGAUUGCUGCCCACAGGUGAGUUUUACUCUACAUUUUCAGAGGCGUCCUCCUGCACUUUUCCAUGGUGGGGUGCAGGUUACCUGAUCUCCCACAUAAUCUGCCCAAGAUUGACUUGCCCCAUAUUCCUGCCAACACCGUUUUCUCAUAUUAACCAUCCCAACACUUGUGAGGUAAUAUCUCCUUGUAUUUUUGUGCACUUGCGUGAUUAUUAGACAGUAUGAGACCAAUUAAUGUAUCUUUCUCCUGCAUUGUCUUUUUUAGGAAAAAUAUCUACUAAAAUACUUUUUUUUAAUCAGAAAAGGCAUUUAUUAAAAUUUUAACAGGGAGUUCACAAAGGGACCACAGGAGGACCAGCUAGAAAUGGAUAGAAACGAGAGCAGCUCUUAGGAACACACAAGGAAAUAAGAGCAAGAAGAAACAAAAUAAGGGAAAUUAGAAAAAUUUGAAGUUCACUGCAGAUAGCUUUCGUUGACAAGUCCUUUGCAUACAAGUUCUCUUCUACUAAAAAGGAAGGAGAUGGACCGGAGGCCUUGUUUCCUCCCGGAAACACUGGAUAGUCGUCUAAAGACAACUGGGUAUGUGAGUCAUCCUGGUGUUUCGGAUGAUUAGAGGUGAAGUUAAACUCCCACAUUCUCAGGUCCGUGGAGGUGAUGCACCAACUGCUGAAAAAGCCUGAGCGGAUGGAGCCCAGCUGCACAAGGGCCGUGGCUUCGGAUUGAGCAGGGCUGUUUCCUCGGGUAACACGAGUCUUUACAAGUCAAUCCUGGAAGGAGGAAACAUACUGUUUAAGGCUCAGAAUCAUCACACCCUUCCUAUGCCACAGCCACACACACAGGCAGGACCUCAGCAUGUGGGAAGAUGGUCCCCAGCUGUCCACUGCACCAGGGACACCCAGGCAUAGUACAGUCCUGCAGAAAGGUGCACAGGAGACUUCUGUGACUCCAUUCUUUCGACCUCAUUUCCCUGCUGGUGAAGCACACACAGGCUGCAGCAGUGGGGAACUGGGCAGCACUGGGCUCCCAUUCAGGACACAGACUGGCCCUGACCAAUCUGAACGUCAGAGCAGCCCCCCUCACCUCUCCUGGGAUCUCAGGCUGAUCUCAGCCCUCAGGAUGGAGGACACAGAGCUGGUACUCAAUGCUGCACAGAAGAAAAUCAACAUCAACCUUAAGUAUUAUUAAGGAUGGGCACCAGCCUCACUCCAUCAGUACGAUGCCACUUAGUGGACAUAUUUAUUGCAAAGUACCUCAGCACUCUAAAGGCAGCCAGGGUUGAACAUGUACCAGAGGGGAAGGCCCAGCCCAUUGCCCAUGCCCUUCCAUCAUGAUGAGUACAUGGCCCAAAGCAGGUGGCAGCCCAUCAGGGGUUGGAACCCAUGAGUCUGAAACCGUGAGUCAAAACAAAUCUUUCCUCCUUGUUCUCAGGUGUUUUGUCACAGCAACAAACACAAUGAAUGACCUGGCAAAAUUGUUUAACCAUAUCUAUUAUCUACCAAACAUUUAAAACAAUAGUUUUCAUGGAACUACCAUACAAACGUUAGGUAACUUGUCUAAACAGUAUUUCAAAAACAUUUUCAACAAUCAUACUGUAGAAUGGGACCUACAGGUGCAUCAGGAAAUGCAAAUUUGACAUGACAAAAAUUGUAAGUUCCUCUAUGCCAACCAAGAGCCCAGAGAAUCAGGAGUAAACACUCAGGGUUGUGCUGGAGUCUGACCCAUUUUGAUGUUUAUUGUUGACACCUUUCAAGUCUCACUGCUCCCUUUCUAUGAUGCCAUCUGGGCAAGAUGCUGAUAAACCCUAAGUGUUCCCUUCUUCGGGCAGCAGCUGGGAGUUCUAAAGAUGACCAGGUUCCCUCACUCCAGCACCACCCAGGACCCCCAUAAGAGGAGGCAGCCACUUCUGGACAAGUGUAGCAAGUCCACCCUGCUUCCCUGGAAGGCCUCCUUAUGCUGUGAAGUCUGCAAACACUUCAGUGUUUGGCUUCGCCAUUCCUGACAAACCAGCCCAACUGGGUGGGGUUCGGCCCUGAGUUGGGACUGGUCAGAAGUGCAAACUAGCAAAAAUGUUAGGGGCAAAUACAUGAGUUUCCACUUCACAAACAAGAGAAAUUCCACCCUGGGUGUUCAUUCUGAAGUGGAAACUCAUGAACGUUGACCUUUUCAGUAUAUCUCUCUCACAAGCACUUUAAGAAUAAAAAGAUAUUUUUAUCCUUAUUCCCUGAAUUUUCUUAUGUUUCAUAUUCUUGCUGUAUUUCAAUUUUCACAUUUAUGUAAAUUAAGGUGAAUUCCAUGCAGUUUUGUUAAAAAAUGUAUCAUAAAUCUCAUGUAAUAAAAUUUAGUCUCUUUUUUAUUAUUACCAA